rnacentral:rRNA from 1 species
AUUGAACGCUGGCGGCAGGCCUAACACAUGCAAGUCGAGCGGAUGAAGGGAGCUUGCUCCUGGAUUCAGCGGCGGACGGGUGAGUAAUGCCUAGGAAUCUGCCUGGUAGUGGGGGAUAACGUCCGGAAACGGGCGCUAAUACCGCAUACGUCCUGAGGGAGAAAGUGGGGGAUCUUCGGACCUCACGCUAUCAGAUGAGCCUAGGUCGGAUUAGCUAGUUGGUGGGGUAAAGGCCUACCAAGGCGACGAUCCGUAACUGGUCUGAGAGGAUGAUCAGUCACACUGGAACUGAGACACGGUCCAGACUCCUACGGGAGGCAGCAGUGGGGAAUAUUGGACAAUGGGCGAAAGCCUGAUCCAGCCAUGCCGCGUGUGUGAAGAAGGUCUUCGGAUUGUAAAGCACUUUAAGUUGGCAGGAAGGGCAGUAAGUUAAUACCUUGCCGUUUUGACGUUACCAACAGAAUAAGCACCGGCUAACUUCGUG